ensembl:lncRNA
GCUGUUCUAAACGCUGUCUGUGUAUUGCCUGAGUUAAUCCUCAUAACACACAUAGAACAUAGUCCUUGGUUUCCAUUCUGAAGAAAUAAGCUGAGUCAGCAGAGAGAGGACCACGGGCUGAGGAACUCGCCACAGAGAAGAGUCAGGAAGCGGCUCCAGGGCUUCUGCUUCCGGAAGGGUCUCCUGCGGCCCAGACUCCUCUCAGGGACCUCAGAGCUCAGUCCAGGGCCCAGCACGUUGCUGCCAAGGGCUCCUCCUUAGACUGUAUGUUUGGGAAGCUGGGCCACUUAAGUAAGCUACAUUAAGCCACCAUGACUUGGCUAAUGUUUUCCUAUGUUUCUAUUUUUAUCACUCAUCAAAUAUACUUUUCUGUUUGUUUCCUACCAUUCAUGAUAUAUAAUUGUGAAUUGAAUAUUUGCACCAUGUUGUAAUCUAGCUGUGUUCCCGCACUAAGCUGCUUAAGAAAGACAAGCAGCUGAAAACAGGAAACCUGCAUUUUAGCUCAUCUGUGUUAUUGAUCCUGAGCAAACGUAUGAUUUUCACUAUCUUUUGAAAUACAGAUAAUAGCCAUCGGUGUCAUUGCUAUCAUCUGAAAUGACACACACAGUCCCCAUGUGGUGUUUUCAUUUUUCCCAUCACAUCAUCUCAUUUUAGCGGUGUAGAGGCCAGUCUGCAGGAGGGCUGAGCGGGGCCCGGAACCCCAGGCUCCAGGUUUCAGGCAUGAUUCCCAUUCCAGCUGCUGAUGUGGCCCUCGGAAGGCUCUGCCCCCACAUGGAGGAGGCAUCAUCCCCUCUCACUGACUGUCCAGCACCUGCUCUGCCCCCACAAGGAGAAGGCGUCAUCCCCUCUCACUGACUGUCCAGCACCUGCCCUGCCCCCACAAGGAGAAGGCGUCAUCCCCUCUCACUGACUGUCCAGCACCUGCUCUGCCCCCACACAGAGGAGGCAUCGUUUUCCCUCUCGCUGACUGCCCAGCAUUUCCUCGUUCAGGGUCUGUGUUUCUAGUUAUUUGAAUCCCGUCAUGUCUUUGUGUUCCAUAAAACCUCUGCCUUCUCUGGCAUACUCAGACCAUUUUCCCAAGAUUGACUUUAAAUAUUUCCCCGCUACUGUGUAUGGCCUUACAAUGACAAAACAGGAUGCUUACAGCUUCCUCCACACAUAAUCUAUUACACCAUGAGUGUUUUAAAAAUCUCCCUGUAAGAUAUUUAAUCGUCAUUCUCCACCUGGAACUUCCAGUCUCCAGAACGGUAUGGUUAGAGUUUUAGAAUCAAAAUUCUACUGCGUCCCAGACAAAUACUCGGCUCUUGAUCCAAUUUUUUUUAUGGGAAAAAAAUGAGUUUCUUUCAUUACCUGCAAUGGAAUUUCCUAUGAUAGCAUGACGCUUGUUUUUCAACCAAUUGUAGGUACUAUAUCUAUAAUAAAUAUUCCUAGGUUGUGUUUGAAUGCCAUAUAACCACUUAUUUCAAAUUAUAUCAUGCCGAUGAAACCAACUCAACUCUUAAAAAUAGGGGCUAUUUCUUCUUGCUAUCUAAUCUGAUUCAAAUCUAGCAGUAUGAAAGCCAGGUGAUUUAUGUUUUAUUAGAUAAAUAACAUAAAAAUACCCAUCACAAAUGGAUGUUUUCUUACUAAUGUGCUUUGAUUUAUCUGUGCAUUUCAGACUUGCAGGGUUUUACAUUGUCUUGUGUAUAACUUACUGAAACCCGUGUUUGGGAAUUUGAAAGCAAAGCAUUGCAGAGGUGGGAAGGCCGCCCGACAGUUAGGCUCUUGAGCCUGGAGUUAGUGGGGCU